rnacentral:sRNA from 1 species
UUCCAGUGGUGACGAUGGGGUGGGCACAUCAUUGGAGAAUUACCAAGCAAAAUAAGUUUGUUUUCAACAAAGUUUGAGUUCGAAUGAAUUGACUGUAUACUGACCUGAUUUUGCCCUAUGCUAUCUGUCUUUCUCCCAGGAUUCAGAGGAACUGGGGGCAGCUUUAUAUUAACUGCCAGCAAGGGUUCUCCAAAUGAGAAGCAAGCGGUCAGUUCUUCCAACAGCAAGAACAGAGUUUGAAAUCGGACCCACCUCUUCCCCAGAACCUUGUUGAAAACAGCCCAGCAUGUUGACAAUUUCACAGGGACCUCAGCCAUUGGAUAACUGACUUCUGACUUACAACAUGCCUCAUCUCCGUGUCUGCUUACUCCUAAAUAAAAUAGAAAUAUAAA